GAAUUCAACUCCUACGGGAGGCAGCAGUGGGGAAUUUUGGACAAUGGGGGCAACCCUGAUCCAGCAAUGCCGCGUGAGUGAAGAAGGCCUUCGGGUUGUAAAGCUCUUUUGUCAGGGAAGAAACGGUGCGUGCUAACACCACGCACUACUGACGGUACCCACAGAAGAAGCACCGGCUAACUACGUGCCAGCAGCCGCGGUAAUACGUAGGGUGCAGGCGUUAAUCGGAAUUACUGGGCGUAAAGCGUGCGCAGGCGGUUUACUAAGACAGGUGUGAAAUCCCCGGGCUUAACCUGGGAACUGCGCUUGUAACUAGCAGGCUAGAGUGUGGCAGAGGGGGGUGGAAUUCCACGUGUAGCGGUGAAAUGCGUAGAGAUGUGGAGGAACACCGAUGGCGAAGGCAGCCCCCUGGGCUAACACUGACGCUCAUGCACGAAAGCGUGGGGAGCAAACAGGAUUAGAUACCCGAGUAGUCCAGGCGUU
rnacentral:rRNA from 1 species